AGAGUUUGAUCCUGGCUCAGGAUGAACGCUGGCGGCGUGCCUAAUACAUGCAAGUCGAGCGGAAAGGUUCUGCACUUAUUAUUUGAACGACAUAAGUCUACCCCGGUAGAUACUGGUCGAAAACGUAUUUCAUUGGCUAAUGGAUGCGGUCGAAUAAUGGGUGUAGAAUACUCGAGCGGCGGACGGCUGAGUAACACGUA
rnacentral:rRNA from 1 species